UAACACGUGGGUAACCUGCCUUAUAGUGGGGGAUAGCCUUUCGAAAGGAAGAUUAAUACCGCAUAAGAUUGUAGUAUCGCAUGAUAUAGCAAUUAAAGGAGCAAUUCGCUAUAAGAUGGACCCGCGUCGCAUUAGCUAGUUGGUGAGGUAAUGGCUCACCAAGGCGACGAUGCGUAGCCGACCUGAGAGGGUGAUCGGCCACAUUGGGACUGAGACACGGCCAGACUCCUACGGGAGGCAGCAUG
rnacentral:rRNA from 1 species